rnacentral:rRNA from 1 species
UACAGGGGGGGGCAAGCGUUGUUCGGAAUUACUGGGCGUAAAGGGUCUGUAGGUGGCCAACUAAGUCAGACGUGAAAUCCCUCAGCUUAACUGGGGAACUGCGUCUGAUACUGGAUGGCUUGAGUGUGGGAGAGGAAUGCGGAAUUCCAGGUGUAGCGGUGAAAUGCGUAGAUAUCAGGAGGAACACCAAUGGCGAAGGCAGCACUCUGGGACGUGACUGACGCUGAGACGCGAAAGCGUGGGGAGCAAACAGG